CCUCUAUCUGCUACUCAAGAGAUGGGCGUUAACUCUUUCCUUGGCAAUCUGUUGUAGAAAUUACAACAAUGGGUAAGGAAUCGUUAUGAUGAAUUAGAUGAAGUUGUAUGUGAGCUCCUCCCUGACAAACAAACUGUAGUCUAGGUAACCGCCUUAUCAGUCAAGUAGGCUAAAAAUCUGUGUCCUUUGAUGUAAGCUUUGAUGUCUCUUUGUGCAUAUGUAGUUAUAAAAAAAAAAAAAAAAAAAAAGAAACCUUUGACUAGCUAGGAAGAGUAGCAGCAGUAGGCAGCAGUAGUAGUAGCAGUGCAAGCAGGACUAGACUAGAUUAAAAAGUUGGUGGAAAGAAUAACUGACCGUUUGGACGUCACCUGGCUGCCAGACUUUCAUCUGGACUCUUCCCCCUGAGUAGCUGGCCUUUCUCUAAGCCACAAAACUGAGCAAGAAGCUGAAGAAGCAGCUAGACAGAGACAUGUACCUAGCCUUGAGAAUUGGGAGGCGUGGCUCAACUAGUUAGCCCAGCCCAGAGGAAUUGUUACCGUGGGUACUGAACAACCGUAGAAGUAGGGCUACCCCUGGCUUUACUGAAUUAACUAGCUGUGUCUGCUGUCUAGUUGGACCAGAUUUAGCUAGAUAAUGGGGUAGAGAAUAGUUGAGCGGUGCUGUGUGUAGCUUGAACUGUACUGGCUGGCAAGAAUCUAGUAAGCACCCUAUGCACUGAUAACUCGUCAGAAUGGAGGGUAUGUUCUAGGGAUCUGGACAGCUGUACAUCCAAAGGAGCCAGGGAGUGCCAAUCAUCUUCUCCCAGUCUCUGACACGCUAAACAAAAGGAGCUAGAACUGGGAGUCCCAGCUAGAAUUGCUAGCCGGAUCUAGACUAAUAGAAUGACUUGGAGGCGUGGUGAGGCCGGAUCCACACUAAUUGAUCGACCUAAAGACGCUCCUGUUCCAGAUUUCACGAAUGGCAAGGAAAGGGUUAAAGUGGAUCAUACGAAAAUGUCUAGGGGACAGAUCAGUUAGAUUUGACAUCCUCCUUCACAAAGUUCGUACAAUGAUAUAGAGUAGUUGAAGUUUUGUUCUGGCCUGUUACACAAUAGUAUCAUGAAUAUCAUUCAUUCUAUGUACGUGGGUGCUAGCCAAUAGUGAUGAAUAUCAUUUAUUAAGGCAUUGGCCACGCCUUUCAGUCAAUCCAACGUGUGCAAAAUUCACACGUGGUAAAGUUGAGUGGGUGUGAUCAAUCCACUUGAGAUACUGCAAUCUGCUUGGGUUGGUGGAAUUCCACCAACAGAACAAAACUGUGGAUAGGCUUGAUUUCCGACCUCCUUCCGGGCAACGGUAGAGGGCAGCGGCGCCCGACUAGGUACCAUGUAUAAUUUACAUGCUAUUAAUUAACAGAAGAAUGUAGGUGACAGGACUGGAGGCACAGGUGAACCCUGUGUCAUGUGUUUAUCUGAAGGAGAUCUCAUAUAAAGAUUGCUAAUCUGUCAAUCUCUAUUGUUAUGGCAGUGAUAACAUCUUUUGCUGCGGUGAUAAUCAUAUGGCAAACCAAAACUGACGUUAUACAUGCUCAGUCCAGUGUUGUUGUUUCCUACUCCCACUUCAUAUCCUGGUACUUUGUUCCUGACUUGGUCACCUAUUACAAAGCUUUCAUUCUUCGUAAGAACUUCUCACACUUAAACCUUUAGUGAAGCGGAUUCUGCUGUUUAUGAGGAGAGAGAGAGCUCUCAUUAUCCAUCACCUGUUGAUACUCUUCCUUGGAUACCCCAUUGCUUGUACGUACAGCUAUCGCCGAGGGAUGGGCGAUUUUAUGAUUGGAGGUUUCAUGGCUCAGGACUUUAGUAAUCCUUUCCAUAACAUGGCCAUCAUUUGAAAGUGGUGAGUUCUAAGUUCAUUUGAUAACUUAUGAUUAUUCCUCGAGGCGUAGCCGCACGAGGGAUACGGUAAAGCUGACUAUGUGUGUGUCUGUCUGUCUGUGUGUCUGUUCCAGCUUUAACUGCUCAACGGUUGCAAUAUGCAACGAAAACUAGCAGCUUCUAUAGGCUUCUAGCCACAUUAUCUUGGAUUAUAAUUCGUAGAUUAGCAAUUAAACUAAAUUCUUUCUCGACUUAUGGCUAGUUUGACUCACAGUGAAGGCUGUUGCACUGACUCUCUUCAGAAUGUUUCAUAGCAUCAUACAGUUAGCACAGCUAGCGCAGCUUGCAACACUCGUUAUUGUCUAGUAAAUCAAUGUUUGCCAUUGCUUUGAUUAUUCCUUCAUUGUUCAUUGCUGUCCCUCUUGAUAGAGGCACUGCCAUUGUUCUUAUAUUUUGCUCAGUGGUGUUAUUGGCCACUGAAGUUAAACAGGUAUACUCUGGAUCAGAAGAUAUAUUAUAUAUAAUUUAUUAGAUAGAAAUCCUCACUAUAGGUAUUAGCCUGGUUAUGGUUAGCAUAUGCUCAUUGUACAGUAAAGGGAUGGCUAUAAUUAUAUCGUUUCCAGGCCGAUUUAAACAAAGUUGAAAAAUACAGCAUAGUACGGGCGUGGUUAAAAACCGGAAAACAAAAGCAGAGAUUCUUCACAUUUUUUCCUGUCGUUUUUCCCCGCUCUCAUAGAUUAUCUAGCUAUAGCUAUAGCCUAUAUGGCAAGUUUAAAUUGUUCAGAUUGAAGUAUACAUUGUCGCCUCACUCUCAUGGCAGAACAGUCCCAGCCUCUUCAGCUCCUGUCAGAAGGAAGAAACGUCUUUGUCUGGUUUUCAACAUGGUAUGGUAAUUAAGUAUCUUUGCUAUCAAUUACUGCAUGCCCUUUGUGAUAGACUACAAGCUAAUUGGUAAAACCAACACUUCCGGCUGGCCCUAAUUGUUGACAAGUGACAAGUUAAGUGUGUUGUUCUUGCUCUGCUUUUGUUUUUUGGCCUAUGCAUGCCCAGAUACAAUCAAUACUAGGCGUAGUUGGCGACCUAGCGUUAUUUUAGAGACAACUCAACCUGGGAACGAGGCUAGGAUGGCCCUGCUAUUUGCAAAUGAAAUUUCAAGUCUUCCUCAUCAUGUUUAGGCAUAAUUAUUUGUUCUUGUAAAUAUAUUAUCAUGACCAUGGCAUGUGGCUCAUAUUCACAUUCACCAAAUCAUAUAAUGCUUGCUUUCCCAGCUGAUCCAAACGGCCACACACGCAUACACACACACAUGUACACAUCCUCUAGCUACAGCAACAAGAUACAUGAUAUAUAUAGUAUGCAUGAUAUAAUUAUAUAGUAUGUACAUGAUAUAUAUAGUAUGCAUGAUAUAGCUUAGCCUCGAUCCCAGGCCGAGUUUUCGCUUUUAUAACGGUUAGGCGAACAACUAGGCCUGGUACUAGUUGUCUGCGCAUGCGUCUGUCGUUCGUCAGAUUCUGACGAAUGGAUAUUCUUGUUCACUUUCGUAACAUUUAUAUUCGUGUACUAUCGUGUACUAGAAGUCAGUUCCCGUUUUAUCAUUAUUGGAAUCGAUUGGAAUGGCUCUUAGCUGAAGCUUCUCUCUUCUCUGAAGCUUAUUCUGAAGACUGAACAACAAGGGAAGAGGUAUAAAGCUUUGUCAAGCUUGUUAAGGUCAGAUAUUUUGUGUGGGCCCUAUGGCUAUGCUAUCAAGUCUUGUUCAUGUUUGGCAAGAUCUACCGGUAGGUAGACUAUAGUUUCAUCAUUAAUAUGGUGAAUCAAGUGAAGAGUGUGAGCUAGAGAACUUAGUGCUGCCAUCAUCAGCUCGUCGACAAUGACACUAUAACCUGUUUAAUACGAGAAAUUUAAUAUAUAUAGAUCUACACG